UACGUAGGGGGCUAGCGUUGUCCGGAAUCAUUGGGCGUAAAGGGCGCGUAGGCGGUGCUUCAAGUCAGGCGUGAAAGCCCCGGGCUCAACCUGGGAACCGCGCUUGAGACUAGAGAACUAGAGUUCGGGAGAGGAUGGUGGAAUUCCCAGUGUAGAGGUGAAAUUCGUAGAUAUUGGGAAGAACACCGAUGGCGAAGGCAGCCAUCUGGACCGACACUGACGCUGAGGCGCGAAAGCGUGGGGAGCAAACAGG
rnacentral:rRNA from 1 species